rnacentral:rRNA from 1 species
GACGAACGCUGGCGGCGUGCUUAACACAUGCAAGUCGAACGGUAAGGCCCUUCGGGGUACACGAGUGGCGAACGGGUGAGUAACACGUGGGUGAUCUGCCCUGCACUUCGGGAUAAGCCUGGGAAACUGGGUCUAAUACCGGAUAGGACCACUGCCUGCAUGGGUGGUGGUGGAAAGCUUUUGCGGUGUGGGCUGGGCCCGCGGCCUAUCAGGUUGUUGGUGGGGUGAUGGCCUACCAAGGAGACGACGGGUAGCGGGGCUGGGAGGGUGACCGACCAAACUGGGACUGAGAUACGGCCCAGAUACCUCCGGGAGGAAGCAGUGGGGAAUAUUGAACAAUGGGCGCAAGCCUGAUGCAGCGACGCCGCGUGGGGGAUGACGGCCUUCGGGUUGUAAACCUCUUUCAGCACCGACGAAGCGCAAGUGACGGUAGGUGCAGAAGAAGGACCGGCCAACUACGUGCCAGCCGCCGCAGUAA